CCUUCGGGUGUGACUGCGUACCUUUUGUAUAAUGGGUCAGCGACUUAUAUUCUGUAGCAAGGUUAACCGUAUAGGGGAGCCGCAGGGAAACCGAGUCUUAACUGGGCGUUAAGUUGCAGGGAAUAGACCCGAAACCCGGUGAUCUAGCCAUGGGCAGGUUGAAGGUUGGGUAACACUAACUGGAGGACCGAACCGACUAAUGUUGAAAAAUUAGCGGAUGACUUGUGGCUGGGGGUGAAAGGCCAAUCAAACCGGGAGAUAGCUGGUUCUCCCCGAAAGCUAUUUAGGUAGCGCCUCGUGAACUCAUCUUCGGGGGUAGAGCACUGUUUCGGCUAGGGGGUCAUCCCGACUUACCAACCCGAUGCAAACUACGAAUACCGAAGAAUGUUAUCACGGGAGACACACGGCGGGUGCUAACGUCCGUCGUGAAGAGGGAAACAACCCAGACCGCCAGCUAAGGUCCCAAAGUCAUGGUUAAGUGGGAAACGAUGUGGGAAGGCACAGACAGCCAGGAUGUUGGCUUAGAAGCAGCCAUCAUUUAAAGAAAGCGUAAUAGCUCACUGGUCGAGUCGGCCUGCGCGGAAGAUGUAACGGGGCUAAACCAUGCACCGAAGCUGCGGCAGCGACACUAUGUGUUGUUGGGUAGGGGAGCGUUCUGUAAGCCUGCGAAGGUGUCCUGUGAGGCAUGCUGGAGGUAUCAGAAGUGCGAAUGCUGACAUAAGUAACGAUAAAGCGGGUGAAAAGCCCGCUCGCCGGAAGACCAAGGGUUCCUGUCCAACGUUAAUCG
rnacentral:rRNA from 1 species